AUGGAAGGGCUCCUGCAUUGGGAUUUCAACCUUGGCCUUGCAGUGGCCGAUCAGGUACGUCGUCGGUUUGGAGAGAUAGUGCACUUCUCUCCUUCGUGCAAGACCGAGGAAUUUUUCUUGGUUGUAUCCUUUUCUUCAGCUUCAUUCCCCCUCAAUGAGGAAUCUAUGGGGGUGGCCUUACAAUGUUGCAUUGGU
rnacentral:rRNA from 1 species